rnacentral:rRNA from 1 species
CCUACGGGUGGCAGCAGUGAGGAAUAUUGGUCAAUGGGCGAGAGCCUGAACCAGCCAAGUCGCGUGAAGGAUGACGGCCCUACGGGUUGUAAACUUCUUUUGUCAGGGAGCAAUUGAGUCCACGUGCGGUCUUAGCGAGAGUACCUGCAGAAAAAGCAUCGGCUAACUCCGUGCCAGCAGCCGCGGUAAUACGGAGGAUGCGAGCGUUAUCCGGAUUUAUUGGGUUUAAAGGGUGCGUAGGCGGAAUUUUAAGUCAGCGGUAAAAUGUCGGGGCUCAACCCGGUCGGGCCGUUGAAACUGGUGUUCUUGAGUGGGCGAGAAGUAUGCGGAAUGUGUGGUGUAGCGGUGAAAUGCAUAGAUAUCACGCAGAACUCCGAUUGCGAAGGCAGCAUACCGGCGCCCGACUGACGCUGAGGCACGAAAGCGUGGGUAUCGAACAGGAUUAGAUACCCUUGUAGUC